rnacentral:sRNA from 1 species
CAAAGGUUCAAGUAGUGUUUCCUUGUUAGAAGAUACAAAGCCAAAUACUCAUAGGGACUUUGGCUUC